rnacentral:rRNA from 1 species
GAUGAACGCUAGCGGCAGGCCUAAUACAUGCAAGUCGGACGGGAUUCAGGAGCUUGCUUCUGAUGAGAGUGGCGCACGGGUGCGUAACACGUAUGUAACCUACCUUUAUCAGGGGGAUAGCCUCUCGAAAGAGAGAUUAAGCCCGCAUAAAAUCACAGCACAGCAUUGUGUAAUGAUCAAAUAUUUAUAGGAUAAAGAUGGGCAUGCGGAACAUUAGCUAGAUGGCGGGGUAACGGCCCACCAUGGCGACGAUGUUUAGGGGAUCUGAGAGGAUGGCCCCCCACACUGGUACUGAGACACGGACCAGACUCCUACGGGAGGCGGCAGUAAGGAAUAUUGGUCAAUGGGCGGAAGCCUGAACCAGCCAUGCCGCGUGCAGGAAGACGGCCCUACGGGUUGUAAACUGCCUUUAUACGGGAAUAAACCCAGACACGUGUAUCUGGCUGAAUGUACUGUAAGAAUAAGGAUCGGCUAACUCCGUG